CAGAAGUUUAACUGACGCGGUGUUGUACUCUGAUUAAAGAGUGUUCAUCCAAUGUUUUUGAGCGGUGUAUUUAAAUGCGUCACUUUUUUACGAUUGCACCUAAUGAACCGGCCAGCGAGUGUAAACGCUCCGCUUCAAGACAAGCUCCGAGGAGCGGCUUCGUCGGCAGCACCUCUUUGUCUCUGCGGAUGAUGGCUCUUUUAUGCAGAUCCGGUUGUCAGCUUUACCCUCCCAGUGAACCUUUUGCUCAUGACGCGACAAACACAACCAGAGGUUCAUUUCCACAGCCGCCUUUAGAAAAAUGAUCACCGCAGAAGACUUUUCAUACAUACGCUGACUAUAUUUUCAUAUAUCGGGGGGAUUUUUGACAAAGCGUCAUCCUUUUGUGAGUCA